rnacentral:rRNA from 1 species
CACCAGCAGCUCAAGUGGUGGUCACGUUUAUUGGGCUUAAAGCGUCCGUAGUCGGCCUUGCAAGUCCUCUGUGAAAUCCUACCGCUUAACGGUAGGGCGUGCAGAGGAUACUACAAGACUAGAGGCCGGGAGGGGGAUGGGGUAUUUCAUGGGUACCGGUGAAAUGGUAUAAUCCAUGGAAGACCACCUGUGGCGAAGGCGCCAUCCUAGAACGGGCCUGACGAUGAGGGACGAAAGCAUGGGGAGCGAACCGGAUUAGAUACCCUAGUA